rnacentral:rRNA from 1 species
CAUACCACUUGUUGCCUCGGCGGAUCAGCCCGCUCCCGGUAAAACGGGACGGCCCGCCAGAGGACCCCUAAACUCUGUUUCUAUAUGUAACUUCUGAGUAAAACCAUAAAUAAAUCAAAACUUUCAACAACGGAUCUCUUGGUUCUGGCAUCGAUGAAGAACGCAGCAAAAUGCGAUAAGUAAUGUGAAUUGCAGAAUUCAGUGAAUCAUCGAAUCUUUGAACGCACAUUGCGCCCGCCAGUAUUCUGGCGGGCAUGCCUGUUCGAGCGUCAUUUCAACCCUCAAGCACAGCUUGGUGUUGGGACUCGCGUUAAUUCGCGUUCCCCAAAUUGAUUGGCGGUCACGUCGAGCUUCCAUAGCGUAGUAGUAAAACCCUCGUUACUGGUAAUCGUCGCGGCCACGCCGUUAAACCCCAACUUCUGAAUGUUGACCUCGGAUCAGGUAGGAAUACCCGCUGAACUUAA